AAUUGGAGGGCAAGUCUGGUGCCAGCAGCCGCGGUAAUUCCAGCUCCAAUAGCGUAUAUUAAAGUUGUUGCAGUUAAAAAGCUCGUAGUUGAAUUUCGGGAUCAGUACGCCGGUCGUGCCUCCGGUAUGUACUGGUGUCACUGAUUCCUCCCUUCUGAAGAACCAUCAUGCCAUUCACUUGGUGUGGUGGGGAAUCAGGACUGUUACUUUGAAAAAAUUAGAGUGUUUAAAGCAGGCUCACGCUUGAAUACAUUAGCAUGGAAUAAUGAAAUAGGACGUUGAUCCUAUUUUGUUGGUUUCUAGGAUUGACGUAAUGAUUAAUAGGGAUAGUUGGGGGCAUUAGUAUUCAAUUGUCAGAGGUGAAAUUCUUGGAUUUAUUGAAGACUAACUACUGCGAAAGCAUUUGCCAAGGAUGUUUUCAUUAAUCAAGAACGAAAGUUAGGGGAUCGAAGACGAUCAGAUACCGUCGUAGUCUUAACCAUAAACUAUGCCGACUAGGGAUCGGAUGAUGUUAAUUUUUUUAAUGACUCAUUCGGCGCCUUACGGGAAACCAAAGUGU
rnacentral:rRNA from 1 species